UAGGGAAUCUUCGGCAAUGGGGGCAACCCUGACCGAGCAACGCCGCGUGAGUGAAGAAGGUUUUCGGAUCGUAAAGCUCUGUUGUAAGUCAAGAACGGGUGUGAGAGUGGAAAGUUCACACUGUGAUGGUAGCUUACCAGAAAGGGACGGCUAACUACGUGCCAGCAGCCGCGGUAAUACGUAGGUCCCGAGCGUUGUCCGGAUUUAUUGGGCGUAAAAGCGAGCGCA
rnacentral:rRNA from 1 species